rnacentral:rRNA from 1 species
AUUGAACGCUGGCGGCAUGCUUUACACAUGCAAGUCGAACGGUAACAGGUUAAGCUGACGAGUGGCGAACGGGUGAGUAAUGCAUCGGAACGUGCCCGGUAGUGGGGGAUAACGCAGCGAAAGCUGCGCUAAUACCGCAUACGAUCUAAGGAUGAAAGCGGGUGACCGUAAGGCCUCGCGCGAUCGGAGCGGCCGAUGUCAGAUUAGGUAGUUGGUGGGGUAAAGGCUCACCAAGCCAACGAUCUGUAGCUGGUAUGAGAGGACGACCAGCCACACUGGGACUGAGACACGGCCCAGACUCCUACGGGAGGCAGCAGUGGGGAAUUUUGGACAAUGGGCGAAAGCCUGAUCCAGCAAUGCCGCGUGCAGGAAGAAGGCCUUCGGGUUGUAAACUGCUUUUGUACGGAGCGAAAAGGUCUCCUCUAAUACAGGGGGCUCAUGACGGUACCGUAAGAAUAAGCACCGGCUAACUACGUGCCAGCAGCCGCCGUAA